CAAAACGGAGAGUUUGAUCCUGGCUCAGGAUGAACGCUGGCGGUAUGCUUAACACAUGCAAGUCGAACGGGAUGCUUA
rnacentral:rRNA from 1 species